UGAUGGUGAUGGUGAUGAUGGUGACAAUGAUGAUGAUGAUGGUGAUUAUGAUGAUGAUCAUCAUCACCAUCAUCAUCAUCACCAUCAUCAUCAUCA
rnacentral:pre_miRNA from 1 species